UUGACAGCUUUGGAAACUGAACAGCUCUGAUUAUCCACAGAGCAGCUACAGACUGGCCAGUGGCAACAUAAAUCAUUUUAUGCUGCCUUGCCAGUGUGCUUCAUAUAACUUUCUUAGAACCUCAUGCAGUAGAAAAGUUUUAAGUCUCCUUUACCCAGUCUGGUAAGAUUUCCA
rnacentral:sRNA from 1 species